CGUAGCUCAGCUGGAUAGAGCGCCACCUUCGAAGUGGAGGCUAUACGUUCAAAUCGUGUCGCUCGGUCCCA
rnacentral:tRNA from 1 species